rnacentral:sRNA from 1 species
ACAAAUGGGGCUUGUGGGGUCCUUGGGUGGCAGAGGCUGAGCGUGGGAAAGUGAGCUUCAGGCCAGAGAAGCCACAAAAGGGCCAGCUGCGGGCCGUCCAGCGGCUGUGCCACUUCUACAGUGCCGUCAUGCCCAGCGAGGCCCAGUGUGUCAUCUACCAUGAGCUCCAGCUCUCCCUGGCCUGCAAGGUGGCCGACAAGGUGCUGGAGGGGCAGCUCCUGGAGACCAUCAGCCAGUUCUACCUGUCCCUGGGCACUGAGCGGGCCUACAAAUCCGCACUGGACUACACCAAACGGAGUCUGGGGAUUUUCAUUGACCUCCAGAAGAAAGAGAAGGAGGCGCAUGCCUGGCUGCAAGCAGGAAAGAUCUAUUACAUCUUGCGACAGAGCGAGCUGGUUGACCUGUACAUCCAGGUGGCGCAGAAUGUGGCCCUGUACACAGGCGACCCCAACCUGGGGCUAGAGCUGUUUGAGGCGGCUGGAGACAUCUUCUUCAAUGGGGCCUGGGAGCGGGAGAAAGCCGUGUCCUUCUACCGGGUGAGCUGGCCUAUGGGCUGAUGUGGGUGGGCCCCAGGGGGGCACCUUGAGGGCUGAGGCACAGGUGUGGUCGGGCAGAGGCCUCCCACCUGGAGGCAGGGCCACCCAUGCACAUGCUUAGUUUCCUAGUGGUUUCACCAGGAAUGAUAUUGACUGUGCCCCCACCGCCCGGGACAAACACUUGGGGCCUGAACACAGCAAUGGCCUUACCCUUGCACCUGAUGAUCUCAAGCAACCUUGAGUGGGAAGUCCCGUCCCCAUUUGACAGAUGACGAAACUGAGGCUCAGAGAGGCACAAGGACAUGUCAAAGGACACACAGCAUGCCAGUGGGAGGCCCAGGGCCAGGGCCCAGGUCUCCAUGCACCCCGAAGUGGGGACGGCUUCUCCCUUCCUCUGAGCUCACGGUGUGGCUCAGUCCUGGGCACAGAUAAAUGUGGUGUUUUUAGAGCAGAGAGGAGUGCUGGCUCCCCCCAGGCAGAUCCCCGGUGCCCAGGUGGGAGGGGCUGGUCUGAGGCUGCCAGGUGUAGCUGGAUGGGCCUCAGGUGACUCUUCAGCCUCCAGUUUGGGUGUCUGAACCGCCCUUUAUCUCAGAGCACAGAGCUGUGUCAAGGCCUAGGGGUAGCUGGGGUGUGGGAAGCUCCGAGCACGUGUUUGAGUUCUGAGGAGGGCGCUGGGCAAGGUGGGUGCUGCAGGAAGCCUGACCCCAUCUACCUGUGUGGCAGGACCGGGCCCUGCCCCUGGCAGUGACUACGGGCAACCGCAAGGCAGAGCUGCGGCUGUGCAACAAGCUGGUGGCACUGCUGGCCACGCUGGAGGAGCCCCGGGAGGGCUUGGAGUUUGCCCACACGGCCCUAGCACUCAGCAUCACCCUGGG